UGUUAAAAAUUCAUCCUUUUGCAUUGUUAAAAAUUGACGUGACUAAUAGAAUAACCUAAUAAUGACACAUAACGUGCCACGUAUAUCUCAUGCUGACAUAUAAAUACCAGUUUCUAAUUGUGGAAAUAAAUUUUUUUUAAAG
rfam:Gossypium raimondii Chr05_contig_1324, whole genome shotgun sequence.